rnacentral:rRNA from 1 species
UCUUAGACAAUGGGGGAAACCCUGAUCUAGCCAUGCCGCGUGAUCGAUGAAGGCCUUAGGGUUGUAAAGAUCUUUCAGUGGGGAAGAUAAUGACGGUACCCACAGAAGAAGCCCCGGCUAACUCCGUGCCAGCAGCCGCGGUAAUACGGAGGGGGCUAGCGUUGUUCGGAAUUACUGGGCGUAAAGCGCACGUAGGCGGAUCAGAAAGUCAGAGGUGAAAUCCCAGGGCUCAACCUUGGAACUGCCUUUGAAACUCCUGAUCUUGAGGUCGAGAGAGGUGAGUGGAAUUCCGAGUGUAGAGGUGAAAUUCGUAGAUAUUCGGAGGAACACCAGUGGCGAAGGCGGCUCACUGGCUCGAUACUGACGCUGAGGUGCGAAAGCGUGGGGAGCAAACAGG